UGCGUUAUGAGGGUCUCGCGGAGAAGGUGGGCCUUGUUUCUGAUGGCCCGCGCUGUUUGAAGCGGAGUGAGGACUGGGCUUUAGGCACUCCCGUGGAGAGGGAAGCGAGAGGCUCUGAGGGGUCUCUGUAACUGACACGACUAUCUCUCGGAGCUGAGGGAUAGCCCCUUUCCGCCUCUUCCUUCUCCUCGGGGUGAGUGGCUGGCUGGCGGCCUCGGGCCGCCGGACGGAGAGCACGGAGGCAGCCAUAUCUGUGAUACUAAUGGAACAUAGUAUGUGGACUUGCUCUAAAAGUGCUGCUGAUGAAGACCUGCUUGCAAAUUUACAGUCUUUACGGAAUCAGCUGAGGAGAACUGAAAAAGACCUACAAACUGUAGAGGAAGAGCUUUGCAGCACUAGUACCACUCAACAUUAUGGCCACUGCUUUGAUGAGGCUGUAGACUUCACUCUGGAGGACCUUGUUCAGCCUAAUUGCAACUAUCAAGGCUUUUCCAACUGUAAGAAGAAUGCUGGUAAAACAUCUUGCCAGGAUUUUAAAAGAAAAUCUGAAUCUUACUCAGUAUCCACAACUUCUGAUAAAAUUGUGGAAGAAAAUGAACAUCUUAAGGAGAAGCUGGAUGCUCUUUGUGAGCAAAAUGCAUCUUUGGUUUCUGAAAACCUCUACCUAAAGAACAGAGUGGAAACAAUGGACUUUGAAUUGAGGCAGUCAAAAACAAGAAUCUCUUAUCUUGAAUCGACUUUAGGUACACGUUUAGUCAGCAUUCCAAAGUUAAAGGAACAGAUUGUACACUUGGAAGCAGAAGUUUCAGCUCAAGAUAAAAUUCUGAGAGAUGCAGAAGAUAAACUAGAUCAAAGCCGGAAAACAGGAAUGGAAAGAGAAAACAUGUUGCAAAGAUAUAAAAAGGACUAUAAAAAUCUGAAAAUGGAGUUAAUUGAACAAAGCAAGCAAGGAAAGAGAGCAGAACAGCAAAGAAAUGAAGCUUUGUUGAAUGCGGAGGAGCUGACAAGAGCUUUCAAAACGUAUAAAGAGAAAAUAACUGAAAAAUUAGAAAAGGUUAAAGCUGAAGAAGUAGUCUUGGGAAAACGUUUAAUUAAUUGUGAAGAAGAAAGAGAGAAGUUGAAUGAAAAAUGUGUCAGCUACAGAAAGGAUCUAGACAUUCUAGAAGAGCAAUUAAGGAAAUUAAAGGAAGAGAAUCAUAGUGCAAAAGAAGAAAUUAAGACUCUAGAGGCAAAGAACACUGAAAUGGUAUCAAUGGUGACUCGGUCUGAUCGGAAGAUCAUUGAGCUUGAGAGUGAGCUUAGUGAAAAAGAAAUAGUACUUAAAGAGAAAAAUGCUUUAAUAAGUGAAAAUGCAGAGCUGAGAGCACUUACUGCACAGCAACAUAACCGCUUGAAAUUAUGCCAUCAAGAAAUUGAGGAUUCAAGGGAAGAACUCAACAUACUAGAAACCAUUAUUUCCCAGUUGGCUUUAAGUACAUCUGAAGAGAUUAAAUGGCGCCACUUGAAACACCAGCUGUUGAGUUCCUCAAUGAAAGAAGCUCUCUCUGAAUCUUGUUGUGAAUCAAAUAAGCCUUUGAUUGCAGACCUAAGCAUUAAACUGGCAAUGAAAGAAGCAGAAAUUCAAAAGCCUCAUGCAAACUUAACUAUCUAUACUGGAUCUGAGCAUCUUUCUAAUGAUCAUAAAGGACAAGAAAAUAGCAGGUUAUGUGGCCUAGAAACAGAGCCUGUCAAAUUGAUCAGGAGUCAAGGAGAGCGGAGAAGUCAACAGUUGGAAAUUAUCAGCAAACAAUUUGAAAAGGAGAGGCAAAAAUUCCAGAAAGAGAUAGAAGAGUUACGCACUAAACUGACAAAAGCAGAUGAUGAGAAGUUGUCUUUGAAGACCAGCAUGGCUCAGAGAGCCAGUCAGUUUCAAAUCAUACAGGAAGAUCUAAUGAAGAAGGCUUCAAAAACUAGUAGCUUAGAGAGGGAAAUAACAAAGAAAUCUUCUCAACUUUCUGCACUUGAGAAACAGUUGGAAGAAAAGACUAUUGCUUAUUCCGCUGCUGCAGCAAGAAAUGCUGAUUUGGAGCAGGAACUCAUGGGAAAAACCAAACGCAUUCAUGAGUUGGAAUCAACUGUCAGUGAAGAACAUGAGCAAAUAACUUCUGCUUUUGAAAAAGCAAAGUUGGUUCACCUUCAGCAGCACAAAGAGAUGAAGAAACAGAUUGAACUACUUCAGACACAGCUGGAGAAGAAACAUCAACAAUUCACUGAACAAGAGAAAAUAAUAUCUAUUUUGCAACGAGAUGUUAUACAUAAACAGCAUCACAUUGAACUGUUGGAUGGGCUGCUGAUAGAAAGUAGAGAGGAAAUGGAAAAUCAAGAUGUCCAGAAAGAUCAAGGAUUGAAGAUGCUGAAAAGUCAGUUAACAGAAGAAACAAACAAAGUGAGACAACUUGAGUCAGCACUAGACGUAUGUAAGGAAGAAGUUGCACUGUAUUUGAGUCAGUCACAAGAAAAUAAGGAGCUAUUUGAAAAUCAGCUCAAAAAAAAGUCUGAGGAGGUUCAUUAUUUACAGAAAGAAAUAAAACUAAAAGAUCAGAAUAUUCAGGGCACAAGUGAACAAAAUAUUGUCCUGCAACAAACUUUGCAUCAUCAUCAGCAAAUGUUACAGCAAGAAACUAUUAGAAAUGGGGAGCUGGAAGAUAAUCAAAUUAAACUUGAAAAACAGGUAUCCGAUUUGGAACGAGAGCUUCAGAAGCAGAAAGCAUAUGCAGAAGAUGAGUUGAGAAAGGUAGAGGAGAAGCUUCACCUAGCUGCUCAGGAAGCAGAUUUAAACAGACAGAAGGUGGAUGAACUUAAUAGUACAAUCAGACAAAUUAAAUUGGAGAUGGAUCAGUGCAAGAAUGAAUUUACUGGUAUGGAAAAAGAAGUAGUGCAAUUAAAACGAGAUGGUCAAAACAAAGCAAUGCAGAUAAAUCAGUUGGAUAUUGCUUUGGAAGAAGCACGAUCAGAGCUCAAUGAAAAGGCAAAUGAGGUGAAUGAUUUAGAAGAUAAGCUGCUUCAAAGUGAGACUUGCCACAGGGAAGCCUUACAGAAAAUAGUAGAACUAGAAUCUGCAUUACAGAAUGCCCACGGAGAAUUAAAAAUCACUCUAACACAGCUUCAGGAAUUGCAAGAUGCAUUACAGAGUGCACAGUCCUCUCUGGAGGAGAAGCACAUUGCUAUCAUGGAUCUAACAACUGAGCUCAGGUAUUGCAAGGGAGAAAUUGAAGACAAAACCCAAGAACUCCUUGACAUGGACCAAGCACUGAAAGAAAGGAAUUGGGAACUGAAACAAAGAGCAGCUCAGAUCGCACAGUUGGAUAUGACAGUUCGUGAACAUAGUGGGGAAAUGGAACAACAAAUAAUUCGAUUAGAGUGCAAUUUAGAGAAGUCAGAGUUAGAAAUUAAGGAAUGCAAUAAACAGAUUGAGAGCUUAGAGAAGAAACUCCAGCAUUCUAAAGAUGAGCUUCGUGAAAAAGAGUUUGAAUUGCUCCAGAGAGAUCAAGAAAUAAAUCAGCUGAAGAAAAAAUUUGAAAGAAAGUAACAGAGCCUAGAAGCUCUUGAAAAGGACAAGAUAAUGGAGAAGUCUCCUUUCUGUGUAGUCACCAAUGGCAUUUGAUCUGUAUUCCAGAUCAUGGGGGCUUGGCUGUGUUGCAGCUGAAUAUGAAGGCUCUUUCACUGCAAAUUAAAGCGAUGUCAGCUUUUCCAUCCUGAUUUCUGUUAAAGGGGCAAGAACUGUGAUGGAAGGAAUGUUGCCCAUUGGACAAGCAGCAACCCAGGAAUGUUGCUGGCAUCAAAAUCGUGCAUUCAAAGAGGAAACUUUGACAUUGUAUUUGUAAAUAAUGAAUGUGGUUAUUUAUACUGAUGCAAAUGACCUUUUUAUUUUUUCAACUGUUUUUGAGAUUAUUGCCUUGCUAUAAUAACAUCUUAAUUUAUUUUUGAGAAAUAAAUUUUAUUUUCUAAGUA